rnacentral:rRNA from 1 species
UACGUAGGGUGCAAGCGUUAAUCGGAAUUACUGGGCGUAAAGCGUGCGCAGGCGGUUGUGCAAGACAGAGGUGAAAUCCCCGGGCUUAACCUGGGAAUGGCCUUUGUGACUGCAUGGCUAGAGUGUGUCAGAGGGGGGUAGAAUUCCACGUGUAGCAGUGAAAUGCGUAGAGAUGUGGAGGAAUACCGAUGGCGAAGGCAGCCCCCUGGGAUAACACUGACGCUCAUGCACGAAAGCGUGGGGAGCAAACAGG